GAUGAAGAACGUAGUGAAAUGCGAUACGUAAUGUGAAUUGCAGAAUUCAGUGAAUCAUCGAAUCUUUGAACGCACAUUGCGCCCUCUGGUAUUCCGGAGGGCAUGCCUGUUCGAGCGUCAUUUCGACCCUCAAGCAUUGCUUGGUGUUGGGGCACCGCCUGUAAAAGGGCGGGCCCUGAAAUCUAGUGGCGAGCUCGCCAGGACCCCGAGCGUAGUAAUUAUAUUUCGUUCUGGAAGGCCCUGGCGGUGCCCUGCCGUUAAACCCCCAACUUCUGAAAAUUUGACCUCGGAUCAGGUAGGAAUACCCGCUGAACUUAAGCAUAUCAAUAAGCGGAGGA
rnacentral:misc_RNA from 1 species